AAUAACCAGCAUCUGGCAAUGUUCUCGUGACAACUCUCUGAUAUAACUUAUUACCUAAAAGCAAAACAGACAGAUCUUCCAGGACAUGGCCGUAGUAGGGGGCAGUGGUGUGUGUUUUGAAGUCCCCCCUCCCUGAUUACCACUGCCUGGGAGGGGGGACCUCUCCUCACUUUAUUAAUUAUAUAAACGUAUAAGAUAAAAUAGUCUCUGUGGCGAAACCGACCUCGCCACUGGGCAUUGGAGAAGACUGAUUGCUAGCCUCCUGCCAUGUGACUAUGGCCCCUGGGAUGUAUUGCCCUUUAAAGACAUGAUUUGGGCAUAAGGGAUUUGUGUUGUGCUGCUGCUGGCCCUUUAAGAACCAUCUGGGGACAUACUGUGGAGUUACUGGGUGGCCACCAUUUCCUGUAUCAGAGGCACAUGGUGAGAACAAUGGAUGGCGGCCAUUUUAACUCACAGACACUGUUUGGACUUUUCAACACGGUGCCAUCUCGCCAGUAUUUGGUGCACAGAGACAUCGAGCAGUGGUUUUGAACUAUACAGCAGGGGAC